rnacentral:rRNA from 1 species
AUUGAACGCUGGCGGCAUGCCUUACACAUGCAAGUCGAACGGUAGAGUAGCAAUACUUGAGAGUGGCGAACGGGUGAGUAAUAUAUCGGAACGUGCCCAGUCGUGGGGGAUAACGUAGAGAAAUUUACGCUAAUACCGCAUACGAUCUAAGGAUGAAAGCGGGGGAUUCGCAAGAGCCUCGCGCGAUUGGAGCGGCCGAUAUCAGAUUAGGUAGUUGGUGGGGUAAAGGCUCACCAAGCCAACGAUCUGUAGCUGGUCUGAGAGGACGACCAGCCACACUGGAACUGAGACACGGUCCAGACUCCUACGGGAGGCAGCAGUGGGGAAUUUUGGACAAUGGACGCAAGUCUGAUCCAGCCAUUCCGCGUGCAGGAUGAAGGCCCUCGGGUUGUAAACUGCUUCUGUACGGAACGAAAAGGUCUCUAUUAAUACUAGGAGCUCAUGACGGUACCGUAAGAAUAAGCACCGGCUAACUACGUG